AACGUCAUUUCCGGUCACAACUUGCAGGCUUGUUUUCGAGUUGCUGUGCGUUUUGUUGCCAACCUAUUUUGCGACCUGACAACUUUACGGUUUUCACUUUUUAAUUACCGUUCAUAUAUUUAUUUAUUUUUUCCUCAACUUUUUCACUCCGGACGCUUUAUCUGGACACGAUUCGUCAGGACCUCCAACAGCCGAAGCUAAGUAGUAACAUUAACAUGAUGCCUUCUAAUUGUAAUCGCCUUACGGCGAGGAUAGCUAUGCUACAAGCCCAGCUUCAGACGCAAUCGUUAGGCAAGGGUAAUUUCAGUGUAGGAAAGGAUGAAACCGCGUCUGUGCCACCAGUAAGUACAGAUAGUAGUAUAAAUCCCCUGGCAUAGUCCCCGCAGCCGGACAACUUUCUCACGGUUUCUGGAAGGAAAUGCUGUAGGAAAGCUCAACCGGUGUCGCUCAUUCAGCCGACAGAAACUUUCAACCGGUUUUCCCCAUUAAGCAGGUCUUCUCUGGUCUACUCCUCCCGUUACGGGGUCUGAGACGCCGAAGCUUCCCACCAUUAGCUCUGACAAAUUGAAAACUCUGAAAAAUCAGUUAACCCCCUAACUGAGGAUCUCAAUUUAAUCUUGCGCAAUACCCUAGAUGCAGUUGCACCCCUAAAAACUAAAAACAUUUAUCAUAAGAAACUAGCUCCCUGGUACACAGAAAAUACCCGAGCUCUGCAGCAAGCUUCCAGAAAAUUGGAACGGAAAUGGCGCCACACCAAACUGGAAGUCUUCCGACUAGCUUGGAAAGACGGUACCGUGCAGUACCGAAUAAGAACAAUCCGAAAUUCCUUUUUGAUACUGUCGCAAAGCUAACUAAAAAGCAGCAUUCCCCAAGAGAGGAUGACUUUCACUUUAGCAGUGAUAAAUUCAUGAACUUCUUUGAGGAAAAUAUUAUGAUUAUUAGAAAGCAAAUUACGGACUCCUCUUUAAACCUGCGUAUUCCUCCAAACCUCAGUUGUCCUGAGUCUGCACAACUCUGCCAGGACCUAGGAUAAAGAGAGACGCUCAAGUGUUUUAGUACUAUAUCUCUUGACACAAUGAUGAAAAUAAUCAUGGCCUCUAAACCUUCAAGCUGCAUACUGGACCCUAUUCCAACUAAACUACUGAAAGAGCCUCUCUACACUGGCUUCCUGUCAAAGCAAGGGCUGAUUUCAAGGUUUUACUGCUAACCUACAAAGCAUUACAUGGGCUUGCUCCUACCUAUCUCUCUGAUUUGGUCCUGCCGUACAUACCUACACGUACGCUACGGUCACAAGACGCAGGCCUCCUAAUUGUCCCUAGAAUUUCUAAGCAAACAGCUGGAGGCAGGGCUUUCUCCUAUAGAGCUCCAUUUUUAUGGAACGGUCUGCCUACCCAUGUCAGAGACGCAAACUCGGUCUCAACCUUUAAGUCUUUACUGAAGACUCAUCUCUUCAGUGGACGGAAAGGCUCUGGAGCAACGAACCGCCCUUGCUGUCUCUGCCUGGCCGGUUCCCCUCUUUCCACUGGGAUUCUCUGCCUCUAACCCUAUUACAGGGGCUGAGUCACUGGCUUACUGGGGCUCUCUCAUGCCGUCCCUGCAGGGGGUGCGUCACCUGAGUGGGUUGAUUCACUGUUGUGGUCAUCCUGUCUGGGUUGGCGCCCCCCCCACCCCCUUUGGUUGUGCCGUGGCGGAGAUCUUUGUGGGCUAUACUCAGCCUUGUCUCAGGAUGGUAUGUUGGUGGUUGAAGAUAUCCCUCUAGUGGUGUGGGGGCUGUGCUUUGGCAAAGUGGGUGGGGUGUUAUAUCCUUCCUGUUUGGCCCUGUCCGGGGGUGUCCUCGGAUGGGGCCACAGUGUCUCCUGUCCCCUCCUGUCUCAGCCUCCAGUAUUUAUGCUGCAGUAGUUUGUGUCGGGGGGCUAGGGUCAGUUUGUUAUAUCUGGAGUACUUCUCCUGUCCUAUUCGGUGUCCUGUGUGAAUCUAAGUGUGCGUUCUCUAAUUCUCUCCUUCUUUAUUUCUCUCUCUCGGAGGACCUGAGCCCUAGGACCAUGCCCCAGGACUACCUGACAGGAUGACUCCUUGCUGUCCCCAGUCCACCUGGCCAUGCUGCUGCUCCAGUUUCAACUGACCUGAGCCCUAGGACCAUGCCCCAGGACUACCUGACAUGACUCCUUGCUGUCCCCAGUCCACCUGGCCAUGCUGCUGCUCCAGUUUCAACUGACCUGAGCCCUAGGACCGUGCCCCAGGACUACCUGACAUGACGACUCCUUGCUGUCCCCGGUCCACCUGACUGUGCUGCUGCUCCAGUUUCAACUGUUCUGCCUUGUUAUUAUUCGACCAUGCUGGUCAUUUAUGAACAUUUGAACAUCUUGGCCAUGUUCUGUUAUAAUCUCCACCCGGCACAGCCAGAAAAGGACUGGCCACCCCACAUAGCCUGGUUCCUCUCUAGGUUUCUUCCUAGGUUUUGGCCUUUCUAGGGAGUUUUUCCUAGCCACCGUGCUUCUACACCUACAUUGCUUGCUGUUUGGGGUUUUAGGCUGGGUUUCUGUACAGCACUUUGAGAUAUCAGCUGAUGUACGAAGGGCUAUAUAAAUACAUUUGAUUUGAUUUGGAAACCUGUUAGACUACCCAAGACUCGCAGCUUUAAUCGCUUCUGCCAAAGGUGAUUCUAAUAUAUUGACACAGGGUUGUUGAAUACUUAUGUAAUCAAGAUAUAUUUGUUUUUCUUUCAUAUUUUUUUUUUUAUUAUAAUUUUUUUUACAAAUGUUAGAAUUUUUCUCCCACUUUGACCAUGUAGAGUAUUUUGGUAGAUAUUUGACAUAAAAAUCCAAUCAAAUCCAUUUUAAUCCCAAUAUGUAACACAACAAAAUGUGGAAAAAGUCAAGGGGUGCUAAUACUUUAUGAAGGCACUAUAUGUUUCCACGCUAUGAGGUUGGAAUGCAAUUUUUUUUUAAUCUAGCUUAAACUGACACUUUUUGAUGGGGAUUUUUUGUAAUGUAACAUUUACACACUGGUUGACUAAAGGGGUUAACUAUUUAGCAGUUUCAUAGCUUGGGGUUGGAAGCUGUUCAGGGCCGGUUGGUUCCAGACUCGGGGCAUCGGUACCGCUUGCCGUCAGGUAGAAGUGAAAAUAGUCCAUAACUUUGGUGGCUGGAGUCUUUGACAAUUUUUAUGGCCUUCCCCUGUUCUUACAUCUACUUUUAUAGAAGGGAGGGGAGAGGAGAUUAGCAGCGUCAUCGUUACUGGCUUACCAUCAGGGCGUUUGUUACACGCAGCGGCCGCCGCCGCCGCUACUGCCGAUUGCUACUACUGCCGAUUGCUACUACUGCCGAUUGCUACUACUGCCGAUUGCUACUACUGCCCAUGCUACUACUGCUACCUCUCUAUGCUACACGUACAUACACAGAUACAUAGACGUUACCUCUGAACGGGACGGACUGUCUGCUCCUUCGGACACUUCGGCCCAUCCGGUACGUUUGGCUGGCCUCCCCGUGUGAUUGCACCAAGGUCUUGCACUGAGUUCUUGUGGACAAGUGGUGCCAGGGUCACUCUGACCCUGCCCAGACAGAGGGGAACAACUCGUAACACAGGGCCAGGGUCACUCUGACCCAGCCCAGACAGUGGUAGGAGGGUUACAACAUACACCUUGCUAACGCUGCCAGGGUCACUCUGACCCCAGCGUCCGGGACAGAGGGGAACAACUCAUAACACAGGGCCCACACGGGGCCCAACGUACUGCCCUGACCCGGCCCAGACAGGGGUAGGAGGGUUACAACAUACACCUUGCUAACGCUGUCAGGGUCACUCUGACCCACACAGACACGGGGGAUCAACUCGUAACGCUGCCCGGGGUCACUCUGACGUCACUAUGACCCCACCCACACAGGGGUAGGAGGGUUACAACAUACACCUUGCUGUUUGACUAGUAUCCACCAGGUGGUAGUGAGGGUCACCAUGACCCGGCCCAGACAGGGGUUGGAGGGUUACAACAUACACCUUGCUAACGCUGCCAGGGUCACUCUGACCCACAAAGACACGGGGAAUCAACUCGUAACGCUGCCCGGGGUCACUCUGACCUGCCGAGACAACGGGAGGGUUAAAAUAGUGAACAGUUAUAAUCGUAGUGUUAUGUGGCCGUCACUAUGUUAUGUGGUCGUCCUAGUAUAUAAUGUGGUCGUCACUAUAAGUGAACGACUACACAAUAUUUAGGAGGAUGACAAAGGAUUAUCAAAUUCAAUUAGUAAAAAGCCAAAAGCAAUGAUUGCGAUCCACUUCCUUUUGUACACCAUGCCAUACUCCAGACUGAGCAUGUGCAGGAUAGGUACUGAAAGUGUAUUGGACACUCUUUAACUGUCUUUCGCGAUUUAAAUAAUACAAUUACAUUGAUUCUAGUAAUGUCAUGGAAGUAAUACUGACAUGUGACUAUAUUAUCUAAGUAUAAUGCAACUGGUUGAAUUAAAAUGUAAAAAGUGUGUUUAUUUCGUAAUUGCAACAUAUACAUAUUAUUUAAUAUUAAACCCGAUCGAACUUGUUUUGCAUCAACUGAAAACAUUAGUCCGUAACUCUGCCAAGCCUACAAGCAAAGAUGAACUGGUGAAGGCCAUCAAGAUGUUUUGGCUUGAGAAAUUGACAAUACAACAAUGCAACAAAUACAUUGAUCAUCUCAGCAAGGUUUUACCCAUGGUCAUAGAGCUGGGGGGGAAGAGCAACUAAAAUGUAGUUUAAAUAAACAUAUGCAUUUUGAAAGUAUUUUUUCUCGUUAUUUUAUUAACAAAACAUAAAGCUGUAGAUGAAGAAAUACUGUACAGCAUAUGCUUUAUCCCACAUUUUGUGGUUGCAUGAGGUUUUGAGUUAGAAAUGUAACACUUUAGAGUACUUAAGCAUCGAAUACAUUGCAAGUUGGGGGGAUUUUCACACCUACAGUACAGUAGCUGGGCUAUGGAGAGUCUAUUAUCCUACUAAUAGGAAACAUUGUUUGCAUGAUGGGCUACACCUGCUAAAACACUACAGUACACUUGUGAAAAACAGAUGUUCGAAAACAUGUUUUCAAAAUGCCUCCAGCUGUCCAUCACUACUGUAAAUAAAAACACAGAAUCUUG